AAGAGGCUUGUUUUUAUCCGGAGAGUGUUUACAAUUUAAUAAAACUCAGUACACCAAGUUUUAGUUCUUGGCGUGUUUUUCUCCCUCAGUAAGUUCCUUGAAUAAAGCGAUUGUGUUGUCAACCACGGCAUAAUCUUCAGUGUAGCAAGAUGCUUGGCUCCAGGCAGGCGCUGAGAGAGACUGUUGGGUCAGUGAAUGUGUAUCAGUGAAAAUCAAACAGAGGACAUUUUCUUUAUAUGUUUUAGUGUUCCUUUGUUUUUUUUUGUGAUGGUUACUGGCUCUUUUCUAAGAAUAAUGGAGAAAAGGUGUUAGUUUAUACUGUCACCUAGGGCAGUCACAGGGGAUGCUGAAAAAGCAAAAGAACCGAUGUUAAACCAGAAAUGAAUGUACUGGGGUGUGGGGAUGAGACAAGGGAAGAGAAUACAUGGGAAAGUAUUGGAAAGGACAGAGUGAUCAAAAGCGCAGGGACAUGGGAACAUUGGGCAGCACACUGGGAGCCAUUUAGUUUUAUGCUCUUAUUGUAUGAAUGGGAAAAAAAUGUCCUUAGUGGUUAAGUGGCUUCCCAAUGCCACGUAAGACUUGUUCCAGAGAAGUUGAAUUAGGGGAAGGUGAACUGGUUGGAAGUUGGUGACAAGGAGAAAAGCUGAAAACUAGAGAAGAAAGUCAGAACCAGAGGGAAAUGAGAGACUGAGUAGGUGUCUCUGGGUUUGUGAAGGAGUGGAUUUUCUUUGUUGCAGUCAGGGGAGGUUUGUCUGCUGGUUGCAGAAACAAGUCAGACUAGAGAUACCGUGGGGUUGGUUUGUUUGGAACGGAAAUCAAAGACCAAUUUUUGCGAGAGAAGGAAGUAACAUCUGCAAAUGACAUGCUGUUUCUGCUGCUUCCAUUGCUAGCUGUUCUCCCAGGUGGUGAAAAUGCAGACGGGAUCAAGGAGCCUGUCUCCUUCCAUGUCAUCCAAAUCUCAUCCUUUUACAACCAUUCCUGGGAAUGAAAUCUGGGCUCAGGUUGGCUGGGUGAUUUGCAGACUCACACGUGGGACAGCAAUUCCAGCACCAUCAUUUUCCUGUGGCCCUGGUCCAGGGGAACCUUCAGCAAUGAGGAGUGGAUGGAGCUGGAAAGGGCAUUACGUAUAUACUUCAUUCGUUUUUUUGAGGUAGUUCAUAGAACCACAAGUGGAUUAAUAUUUGAAUAUCCUUUUGAGAUACAGAUAAGAGCAGGCUGUGAGGUGCACUCUGGAAAGCUCUCAGGAAGCUUCUUUCGGGUAGCUCACCAAGGAUCAGAUUUCGUGAGCUUCCAGAACAAGUCAUGCCUGCCAUCUCCACUUGCUGGAAAUGCAGCCAAGCGUCUCUGCAAAGUGUUGAAUCAGUAUCAGCGUAAGAAGGACAUAAUACACCAUUUCUUAAUUGACACCUGCCCACGUUUCCUCUUGGGUCUUCUUGAUGCAGGAAAGGAACAUCUCCAGCAGCAAGUGAAGCCUGAGGCCUGGCUGUCCCGUGGCCCCAGUCCAGGCCCUGGCCAUCUGCUGCUGGUGUGCCAUGUCUCAGGAUUCUACCCAAAGCCUGUGUGGGUGAGGUGGAUGCAGGGUGAGCAGGAGCAGCUGGGCACUAAGCAAGGGGACUUCCUGCCCAAUGCUGAUGGGACAUGGUAUCUCCAAGCAACCCUGGAGGUGGCCGCUGGGGAGGCAGCUGACCUGUCCUGUCGGGUGAAGCACAGCAGUUUAGAGGGCCAGGACAUCGUCCUCUACUGGGAACGUCACAAUUCCGUGGGCUUGAUCAUCUUGGCGGUGAUAGUGCCUUUACUUCUUCUGAUAGUGUGUCUUGCACUUUGGUUCAGGAAACGCUGUUUCUAUUAAGACACAUCAUGAGCCUUCUCGUCACCGUUCACCUUUUGAAAUGAGAAACCAGCAGCCCAAGGACUCAGGACACACCUGAACAUGUCGUGGUGAUGACGCCUUUUCCACUCUCCUUGUUAAUUUGCUUGUUUCUGCUUAACGAUCAUUUGUCAAUCUAAGCUCAAUUUAAUUUGCAGGAUUUGUUGUUCUGACCUGGGUUUUGGGACUUUAAAAUUCAAAUUUUAUCUGUGAAUGGAAUGGGGUCCUAGAAAACUCCACAUGCUCAACCACUAAUGGAUCAUCGGGCCCUUUUAGAUUCCCUUCCUCCAGAGGCCUUCCCUGAGUCACGUGUGGAAAGCAGUCUCGCCCUGCUCUGAACUUCCACCAUAUUUGCUGACUGUACUCCUCACUUCCUCUCCUUCAUUGCAGUUAUUUAGGUGCUGCUUUUCCUUCUAUUUUUCACCUCCUUCAAUGCAAAGUACAUGUAUUUUAAAUCUAUGUAUUCCUGACGAAGGAUCUUGCCUGCAUGAAACAUGUUCUCAAUAAAACUGUUGAAUUUAUGCUCAA